rnacentral:lncRNA from 1 species
AACAAUUUGCACAAGAAGGACAUAGCUCAUUCAUCAUAGAGAGAUGAUCCAUGGAAGGAGACAAAGUACAUAAACAAGAUACACAACCACUGCGAAUGGGAAGCUUCCACAAGGUGAGAUGGUACCAUCACUCUUCAAUUAAGGUAACAUCUUAAGAUAUGUGACUAUCACUUUUAUAAGCUUCUCCUUGGUUCUGGCGUUCACAUAAAUAAAGAGACAAACAUGUAUGAUUUAUAACUCCAAAUUAACCAACCCAACUAAUUCAGCAUGCUUAGUCCUUUAAUCUUUGUUCCUAGUACUACCUCCAUGAUCCCACACUCCUAAUCAUAUGAGCUAAAAUAUUGCACAUUCAAUCUUUGGGAAGAUAUAAAGAAAAAUACAUAUACAUAGAUAGAUUAUCUUUCCAUAAGGUUGAGCGAUCUGAUCUGACAAAUAUUUUAAAUGCUACACUCAUGAACUUAUCACCCAUCAACUUUGUCUUGCUCCCUAUGCUUAAGGAUAGAGAAGAAUAAAUAUUUGGUUCUGUUAGUGUUUUCCACCAACAGGACCCAUGCACUUGAUCUCUGCCUUGUCUCUAUGAGCAGGACACAUUUUGAGAAACAUAGAGGAUUUUUCAACUUCUAGACUCUACCAAGUGAAGGACCUGGAUCUACGAGCACAAAUACACUGAGCAAGAUACUGCCAACGCCGCACUUCGAACUGCUGGGCAAACGAAGAACAUGGGUGACACCGUAUCAAGAGGUGCAGACGUCAAGGUUCACACCUGAAUCAAAUGACGCACCUGAAGAAUGAACACGGCGAGAAGUCUUGUUCAGAAGACUUAAAACAUUGAACCCUCGCCGAAAGAUAAAAUCGGUAGUUAUCUAUAUUUAUCCUUUUUGCAUUCUCUUUUCCCUUAAAUUAUUUACUUUCCUUAAAUGGCUUGUUAGUUAAUCAUGCUAUCUUGAAAAGAAAAUAAAAAUAAAAAUGUUAAAAAUAGUAAGCCCCAUGUGAGUAUGCUCGUGGCAUAAAACCCAUAAGUACAUUCACUGUGGUAGCGUAAAAAUAAAAUAAAUAUAUUCCUGUCCUAUAAAAAUGAAAAUAUAAAAAUAAAUUUAUGAUCCUACCAAAGAGAGUAAUAUUUAUUAAAGGAAGUUCAACAUGAUAAAGGCAAAGAGAUUUUAUGCUAACACUUAACCAGUUCCACAAAGCUUUGUUGUCUAUUUGAGCUCCACAGAAUUCAAGGAUCAAAGAAGACUAGUAGACGGAGGACAUCCUAAUCGCUGUUAGAGUGCUGCCGACAUUCAAAUACAUCUCUGUCACCUGCUAGCUACAUCAGAAGAAAUUGCGUCAAAAUCCAGCUUGGGGGAGAGCACCCCCAUUUAUCCAGCUAAGUGUUUAUAUUCGCGUUUAUACUUUACUCAAACAAUAAAAAGAUGCAUAAUCAAAAAAACCCAAAUACAAAUUUUGUGCUUAUAUCUUUGCUUAGUUUGCUAAAUAAAUAAAUAAAUAAAGUGUCUAUACCAAAUGGAACUCCAAUAAUAAACUCUUACAUAGAUAUGAUGAAUAGUUGCUCUGCCAAGUACCUAGUUUUCAAAUUUGAGCUCUCUCUCAAGUUUAGAUAUAACUGUUAUAAUUUAAAGCUUGCUCCAAAACUGAACUUGUGGGAAGAGUACCUGAUCAAAAGUCUAAGUCGUUAACGGAUAUGAUAUGGGAAGGUUGAGCUGUUGUUUAUCUGUUCCUAGAGACACUAGAAUUCUAGAGAAUUUUAUCUUUGAAAAUCUUUAAAAUGUUGCAUGAUGAGUUCCUGUAUGAUGAGAGUUUAAAAUCCUACCACAGCCAUAUAUACAUGCUUAUUAGACUAUGAACCAUACAUUUACUUUUUACUACUUAUGAGCAUUGAGUGUGGUCAAGCUGUGUAGACCCUUAGGAGCUUGUCAUGCGGUUAAAAUCAAGAUUCACUUGCACGUUCACUCAUACAUGCUACUUCUACUCCGGAAGUACGCAUCCACAUACAUCCACUCAUUUCCAUCUCCAGAUUCACCCAAAAUUAUUCUACUCCUAUCCAGGAGAGAAUAGCCAGAAACAUUAUCCUAUCCCUGUUAUUCCCUAUGAAAUAAAUGCUCGAGAUAUUUUGGUUACUACCACUUGCUACAUUAUUCCAGGAGGGUGAGUGCUCUGAAAAAAGUGAAUAUAAGGAAAUAAAAAGGGGCAAGUGCCCGGAACCUCGAAGAAAAGAAAAAGUAAGACGAGAGGUAAAAAUAGACAAGUGUCCGACAGUAGAAUUAGGUGUACAAGAUACCCACCUGAGAGAAAAAAAAAGGAAAAUAUAGAGCACCUCAUUCUCCUCAAAAAGCUUCAAAGUGCAAGAAAGGUAUUUAUCCCCUCAAAAGAGCAAAAGUAGAAUUAGACUUUCACCAUCAUCACCAUACACCAUUCAUUCGUCACACAUGCACAUCUUGAUAUUGACUUAUUGACUUGUUUCUCUGGAUCCAAGGUUUGACUAUGCAAUAAAUGUCUUGUAAGUAUGUAUACUUUAUCUCCCACCUACGAGC